CGAGGUAGCUCAUUGUGUGCCUGUGGCCGCCAUGACACUUUAUGCUGCAGUCCGCAUCUGAGAUAUAUUCUUGCCUCAGUCCGCAUCCUAUCAGUUGGGGCCCGCGCCAUCCAGGUAUUGGCCGAGGGAGGCGGAAGGCUGGCUUCCUCUCCUCCGCCGCCGCAUUUUAUCAGUCCCGCCCCGCGCCAUCCAGGUAUGGGCCGCGGGAGGCGGAAGGCUGGCUUCCUGUCCUCCGCCGCCGCAUCAUAUCAGUCCCGCCCGGCGCCAUCCAUGUAUGGGUCGCGGGAGGCGGAAGGCUGGCUUCCGCUCGUCCGCCGUCCCCGGGGCCCCCUUCAGCUGCUCGGCCCAGAGCCCCAUCGGCUUCGCCGGCCCCGCGCUCGUCCCGGUGACCGCAUCGGGGACUCCGCGCUGCGCCAGCUGCGGGCGCGUCUCCUGCAGGCCCCAACUGGAGAGCCCCGCGGCCUGUCCCUGCGGAGAGCAGAGGCCUCGCCUGUGUCGGGGUCCCGGGUCCGGAGCCUCGUGCGGGUCUGCUGGUCUGCACACACCCGGCGUGGGGUGAGCACAGCCCCGCUGCCCCUGGGCCUCGCGCACUGUCUAGCGCGGGUCUGAGAGUUUCCCCGGGGCCUGGGGCAUUUUUGACACUUUGCAUUCAGAUACACAAGAGGGAGCUGAUUUUAAAAUACUGUUAACCCGCCUCCUGGGCAAGUGCAUUUCAUCCUUAAUAAAGUGAUACAUUUUAGCCUGGCGCGGUGGUGUACGCCUGUAAUCCCAGCUACUUGGGUCUGAGGUAGAACUUGAUCCCAAGUUCAAGGGCAGCCUGAGCAAUUUAGGCAGGCCCUAUCUCUACACAAAAAAUUAGAAGGACUGGGGGUGUACUUCAGUGGUAGAGUGCCCCUGGCUUCAAUCCCUAGUACUGCAAAAUGCAGGGAGAAAAAAAAAAAAAAAAAAAAACCUCGGUCAUUUGUUUUUAGAUUCUUCAAAUUUUGCACAGAAAAUGUGCCGGUUUGAAUUUUUUUUUUCUCCUAAAUCUUUGUGUUUUCCUUUUUUUUUUUUUUGUUUCUAAUUACUGUACUUGCCAGGACUCCCAGCUGAAUGGAGAUUAGCAUAUAAUUUUCAUUCUUGCCUUGUUCCUGAUUUCAGAGAAAAAUAAUCAGUAUUUCACUGUUAAAUAGAAUGUUUGCAUUUUGUAACCUAUAAAAUCUUUUCCUUUCUAAUGGCCUAAAUUAUUAUUAGCAAUGUACACUGAAAUAGAUUAGUCAUUUCUUUGUGUCUAAGGGAAUAUGUCAAAUAACCUUUCUAUGAAUACUGUGAAUUUCAUUAAUCAGUGAUUCAAUUUUUGUUUAUUUUAUUCUUGUGGUGCUGGGAUUGAAUCCAAGGACUCAGCGCUAGUAAGGCACCGUACCACUGAGUCCCAGUGAUUCAGUUUUAUUCUUUUUUUCUUUUUUAUUUUUUUAGUGAUUCAGUUUUUAAGCAUCCGUCAUUCCUAGGAUGAAAUGAACUUAAAUUAUGAUUUAUACUUAUUGUUCAUUUCUCAACUGUUACCAAUACUUUUGUAUUAUUUGUACUUUGUAUGUGAUCUGGCAUAUUUUUUAGAUGUACGCUUCUGGUGUUGGAAGUAGGAAAUUACAUUCCCUCUGUACACUGGAAUUAUGAAUUUCCUACUAAUUUUGUGAAACUUUCUGUAAAACAAUUUGCAACUUCUGUUUCCUUGUGCAUGUUUUAAAUAUGAUUCUUUUAAUGACUGGAUACAAUGAAAUUUUCUUCUUCCUCCUCCUCCUCCUCCUCUUCUACCAAUACUAUCACCAUCCACCACCACCACCACCUCCACCACCUCUACUACUACUUCAUUUUCCUCUUUCUCAUCUCUUCUAGAUUCUACCUCUUAUAGUUCCUGUUACCUCCCAGUAGUCCAUUCAGACUCUUAAUCUAUAAAAUGGAUUAAUCCACCAAUGAAAUCAGACCCCUUAUAAUCCAAUCGCUUCCCCCAAGCCCAAACUCUGAACACUACAGCACUGGAGACCAAGCCUUCAACACACGAGGCUUUGAAAGACAUCCCAGAUUCAAACCAUAACAAAUAGCUUGAUUCUGUUUCUCAGAAAUUAGGUUUUUUGGAGCCCAUUGGGUGGGGUUGGGAUGACAGCAGUGUUCAGGGCUUUGUAGUAAUGCCUAUUAUGCUGUAAAAUGGUAAACAAGUAAAAAUUUUGGUCAAGGAGCCCCAAGAAGCCUAGUGUUUAAAUAAAUUAGUGGUUUCUUAGAUAUGAGUCAGGGAAUAUAUAUUCUUAGGGUUGAAGGCACCACUUGAUACAUUUUAUGCUUUUUGUUUUGGGGAAAUGGACAGCCAGAUAUUCUUAAAAUGUGAGUUAAUUUACUAAUGAAAUGUUACUAUUAGCCUCUUUUGUAUCAUUGACAAGGAUAAGAGUGUUGUUUUGUAUCUCUAGGGGAGAAAGGAUUGUUCCAGUUUCACACAAGUUCAGUUUGUAUUUACUUGGGAGUCAUGGUAUAUGUGUUUUGAGUUGUCACUGGUAAUGGAUGUGCUACAAUAUCCAGGCUCAUGAGUAUGGGAAUUCUCUGGAGGGUUGGAUUCCCAUGUCAGCUUCUGUCUUACCUAUAACUUCUCAGUGUCUUACUUUUCUUUAUGAAGGUGACAUGGAGGAAGAAAGAAUAAGUGUUGGGUUACAGAAAAGUAUGAUGCAGGUAAGUAAAAGGUAUAAUGCUCUAAAAGAAUAUUUCUAUUUCAUUUGAUAUCCUGCUGCUAUUUUAGAGCACAGGUUAGCAAUCUGCUUCUUUUUUUUGGAUCACAUGGUAAGUAUUUUAGGUUUUGAAGGUCAUAGAAUUUCUGUUACAAGGAAAUUGUCAUUUUAAUACAAAAAAUAUUCAUAGAGGAACAUAAAAAAAUGUUUUAUUGUAUUGCAAUAAAACUUUACUUACAUAAGUAGGUGAUAGGCUAGAGUAAGUGCAUGUGCCAUAGUUUGGUGAGCCCAGGCCACAAUACGAUAAAACAGAGCCAGCUGUGGGCCUGACUUGAAAGAUGUGCAGGCUCUUGGGCCUCUCAGGAUUGUGAGGGGGGAAAAAGGAAAAGUUCCCAUUCACUCUCUGUGUUUUCAUUCAUUAAAACCUCAUCAAGAUUUAAACCUGAGUUUGAUGUUGUGCUCAAUGCCUUAAUAGGAAUAAAGUAGCAGGUGAAGUUAUUCUUGAAUAAGGAAGAAUUUCUGAAUAAGGAAUAAUAUGAUAUUGUCCAAUAUGUGGUCUUGGUCCCAUAUCCUGGCAUAGAGUUCCUAAAACCCUUCAAAUGUCUGGACUGAUAAGAGUAGCUUUGUAUGAUGACUGGUGACCAGGACAGAUAGCCUCAGGAUGACUGCUGGUCCAGAAGAACUAAGGUAUGCUUGACUCUUCAGCCCUAUCCCCUAACCUUGAAGUUGAGAGGUACUGAAGGUUAAAUUGAUUAUUUAAAUUGCUAAUUUAAAUCAGUCAUGCUUUCUAGUAAAGCCUCUGUGAGAACCCAAAAAGAAUGAAUUUAGGGAGCUUCUGUAUAGCUGAAUAUGUAGAGGUUCCUGGUACGAGGCACCCCAAUAGGCGUGGAAGUUCUGCAACUUUUCCUACCCUGCUAUGCCAUAUAUAUUUCUUUAUCUGGAUAGCUCUUUGUAUUUAUAACAAACCAUAAGCACAAGGAAGUGUUUGCUGAGAUUCUGUAAGCCAUCCCAGCAUAUUAGCCAACUCAAGGAGGGUACAGUGUGGACCCUGAGAUGUAGCCAUUUGGUCAGAAGUAUAAAUGACAAUGUACUAGUUGUUAUGUUGUUUGAAGUAUGGGGAAGUUUUGUGGGACUGAGCCCUCAACCUGUGGGAUGAAGCUGUCCAUGUAGAUAGUGUAAGAAUGUUAUUGAAUAACAGGAAACCUAGCUAGUGUCUGUUGGAGAACUGCUUGAUGUGUGUGGAAAAUUACCCACAUAUCUAAUAUCCAGUGUUCUGUGCAGGUUCAAAGGAAAAUAACUUUGAUUUUUUCUUUUCUUAUUUCAUUACCAUCAACUGCAAAGAGACUAAUGUAGUAUUUUAGAAGUAUUUUGGCUUUUAGACAGGAUUUGUUCAGUCAUUAAGUAUGUGUGUGUAGAAUGGGAAAGAGAUCUGCUGACGGAGUCCUGCCAUAGACUUGGGGAGUCCACAGAAUCUUCUGAACCUCCCCUGAAUUGAUUCUCAGGUCCCCAGUGCUGUCAGCCUCACCCAUCAUCUCACACACACUGGAGGAAUUGUACCUUUCUGAAGAGAAUUUGUGGCAUCUUUUAGGACUCGGUGACCUUUGAGGAUGUGGCUGUGGACUUUACCCAGCAGGAGUGGGCUUUGCUGGAUCUUGC
rnacentral:lncRNA from 1 species